UGAGCCAAAACCUUGUCAAAUUGCUCAAGAUAUAGCUCAAGACACAACCACUAGUGAAUUGGGUCACUUACUACCCUUAGAUUGCAUGUGUUGACUUCAAAAUCCAAUAACUCCUUCAUUCCUACUUAGAAUCCAGCAAGCAAUAUACAAAAAAUGUAGCUGCAAAAGUGGUCUCUCUAUUCGCACUCACCGAUCCUCAAUUUCCUUCCGUAUGCAUGCGUUAUAUCAAAAAGAGUGAUAGUAGCUCCCAAAUCAACACCUUAACUUUAAGUGUAUAUAUCUCCUUCAUAUAA
rnacentral:lncRNA from 1 species